rnacentral:rRNA from 1 species
CACGUAGGGUGCGAGCGUUGUCCGGAAUUACUGGGCGUAAAGAGCUCGUAGGCGGCCAACUAAGUCAGACGUGAAAUCCCUCGGCUUAACCGGGGAACUGCGUCUGAUACUGGAUGGCUUGAAUCCGGGAGAGGGAUGCGGAAUUCCAGGUGUAGCGGUGAAAUGCGUAGAUAUCUGGAGGAACACCGGUGGCGAAGGCGGCAUCCUGGACCGGCAUUGACGCUGAGGAGCGAAAGCCAGGGGAGCAAACGGG